rnacentral:rRNA from 1 species
AGAGUUUGAUCAUGGCUCAGGGUUAACGCUGGCGGCGUGCCUAACACAUGCAAGUCGAACGGUUCUAAGCGCGAGCUUAGGAUAGUGGCGAACGGGUGAGUAAAAGGUAGGAAUCUACCCCUUGGACGGAGAUAGCUACUGGAAACGGUAGGUAAACUUCGAUAAGCCCGAGAGGGGAAAGUGGCGAGACAGCCGAGGGAUGAGCCUACUCUCCAUCAGGUAGUUGGUGAGAUAAAAGCUUACCAAGCCGAUGACGGAUAACCGGUGUGAGAGCAUGAACGGUCACAAGGGCACUGAGAGACGGGCCCUACUCCUACGGGAGGCAGCAGUGGGGAAUCUUGGACAAUGGGCGAAAGCCUGAUCCAGCGACGCCGCGUGGAGGAAGAAGUCCUUCGGGAUGUAAACUUCUGAACUAGCCGAAUAAAAGGCCUGUGGACACACAGGAGAAGAAAGUAGGCUAGGAAAAGUCCCGGCUAACUACGUGCCAGCAGCCGCGGUAAGACGUAGGGGGCAAGCGUUACCCGGAAUUACUGGGCGUAAAGGGGGCGUAGGCGGUAAAAGAAGUCAUCUGUGAAAACCUAUUGCUCAACGAUAGGCUAGCGGAUGAAACUGAAUUACUUGAGGGCACCAGAGGUAGACGGAAUUACCCGAGUAGGGGUGAAAUCCGCAGAUACGGGUAGGAACGCCGGUGGAGAAGUCGGUCUACUGGGGUGCACCAGACGCUGAGGCCCGAAAGCUAGGGGAGCAAACCGGAUUAGAUACCCGGGUAGUCCUAGCCGUAAACGAUGCUCACUAGGUGUAGGGAGUGAUAAACUCUCUGUGCUGAAGCGAACGCGCUAAGUGAGCCGCUUGGGGAGUACGUCCGCAAGGAUGAAACUCAAAUGAAUUGACGG